rnacentral:ribozyme from 1 species
AAGAUAAAAGAAAAAUUGAGACGAAAAGAAAAACACGCGUCUGUUAGUUUUUGUUUUGUUUUUAUCGAGAAAACGUGUGUUUUUUUGGUUUCUGUUGUUUCAUGUGU